CAACGUCUUCUUUUUUCUAAAAUCUUCAUUUUUCAGCUCCAAAAAAGGCCAAAUAAAAAACCAUCAUAAACGUCGAACUUCACCCAUGGAGGGCUCCGCGCAGACUGAGCUCCGCAGAGCGGGGAAGGACACAGAGCACUCUGAUUGGCUUAAACCCACCAAUCAGAAUGUUCUUAGCUUAAUUGCAGGGCGGGGCAAGGCUUUAUAAGCCUUCCCCCUGCGGAGCCAAGACUGCGCGGAGCCCUUCAUGGGUGAAGAUGGAUUAUUUUUUUGCGCUCUGUUUUUUUCUUUUUCGUCAGGGUUUUUUAUUUUUGCGCUCGGGAUUUUUAUUUUAUUUUAAGUUCGACGGUUAUGAUGGUUUUUUAUUUGGCCUUUUUUGGAGCUGAAAAAUGAAGAUUUUAGAAAAAAGAAGACAUCGUAAGG